CUCGUUUCGCUCCUUCAUUCCAUCAAAGAGUUUCUUUGCUUUUUCCAGAUGCCCGUUGCAAGCAUAUGCUGUAAUGAGAGCGGUUGCCGGGACUAAAUGCUCGCCUUGAUCAGGCAGACCUAAAUAUAUGGCUUCGGCGUCGUGAGUCCGCCCUCGUCGAGAAUACAAGCGCAGCAUUGCAGUGCAAGCAAACGCGUUGUGGCGCUGCAUGGUGUAAAAUAUUUGCUCAGCCUCCGCGAUGCUACUGUCCUCGUGAUCUGCGUAAGCGGACAGGAUUACUGCGCAUGAAACCACAUCGAUACACUCCAUCGACUCAAACAGAUUCUUUGCCUCGUGAAAGCAGCCACUUUCCGCCAAGACGACAAGCAAAACCGUGGAGGCAACCAAAUCCUUGUGAGGCAGCGCGAGGAAGAAAUACUUGGCAUCUUCCAAAAGGCCGUGCUGGCCAAAGCACUGAAUCAUGGACGUAAAAGACAGAGCAUCAAAUUCUGGCAUGUUGGAGAAGAUGUCCUUCGCCUCCUGCAAAUGCCCAGCUUGGGCAAGUGCUGAUAGUUGAGAGUUCCAAGCAACAAGAUCUCUCUCAGGCAUGGAGCUGAAGAGUGUCGUUAUUUAAAACAAGUUGGUGGAUUUGGAUAGAAUUGUGGUCCAAGAGAUUAAGCUCCUUUCUGGCAUAAGCUCAAAGAGCUGCAUUGCUUUAUCCAAAUACCCGUUUGUGGCAUAUGCUAAGAUCAUUGCGUUCCAUGCUACAAGGCCUCUCUCUCUCAUGGAAUCGAAAACUUCUUUUGCCUGUAGGAGUAAGCCAUGCCGAGAGAAGGCAGUGAUCAUGAUCGACCAUGAAGCAACAUCCCAUUCGGGCAUUCGAUCAAACAACUGCUUUCCUUGGUCAAGAUAGCUGUUUGAUGCGAAGGCAGAGAGCAUGGCAUUCCACGAGAAUCGAUCCCGUGAUGUAGAGCCACGAAAGAUUUGCCAUGCUGCCUUUGGGCAUCCACACCUCCCAUACAUUUGCACCACCAAAUUGCAUGCCAAGCAGUCUCCUGCCGCGAGGAGGUGCUCAAUCUCAUUGUGGAGCUUAGAAGCUGUGGAUAGAUUGGUACACUUCUUUAUUGCAUCCAACAAAACCUCUCGACAAUCUGGUUCUCUGUAAGAAAAAACCAUAUAAUCAUGCACAAUCUUGGAUGGUUCCUUGGUUGUUGUAGACACAAUCAUCAAUUUGGAGAUUAGUUUCAUGAUCCGCACCACUGUUGUCUUUGCACGUCGCAUAGUAGACCAACUUUGGGAUGUUUUCAUUGUUAUACAUGCAACCUGUGGGCGUGCAUGUCUCUAAGAAAUUUGCCCCGCCACACUUUAAAUUCCCAUUAUCAUUGUGGAUGUGAUUGUCCAAGACCAAAUAAAUCUCAGAUUUUCCAGGGAGACACCAUUCUAAAUGAAUAGUGGUUAAGUUGAAUUCAACUAUAUUACAAGUAAGUGAGAAAUCCCCACACCCAAAUGUUUUAGGAAUGAUCAAAGCAGCAAGCGAGGCAACAAUGGAAACUAUCAAUCGCACACCCAUUCUAAAAAUUAGUUUUUUGAAGUGCUGAGAUUUAUUGUUAAGGGAAAAUCCAAUCAACCUUUAUGGAGACAAAAGUUUUUGCCAUGUAGUCCACAUAGCGGUGAUGAAGUAGAUAAAUAUUCUUAUUGAUGAACAAAAAUAUUCAAAAACAUUGGAGUUGUCAAAGAUUCUCUUCUCAAAAAGCAUACGUCCAUUUCGGGCACAAUCUGGUAUCACGCUGUGAUCGGCAUUGUUUCGAUGGUAUGGCAGUCUCGUCUCGCAUCAAAGAGAUUCUUUCGGACUAAAUGCUCGUCUUGAUCAGGCAGACCUAAAUAUAUGGCUGAGUCCGUUCUUGAGAAUACAAGCGCAGCAUUGCAGUGCAAGCAAACGCUGUAUGCUGUAAAAAUUCUGCUCAGCCUACUGUCGUCAUGAUAUGCAUAAGCACAGCACAAGACAACACAGCAAAGCAGUGGACGCAACCAAAUCCUUAUGAGGGUGGCCAAAGCACUGGGCGUGAACGACAGAGGAGCAAACUCUGGCAUGUUGGAAAAGAUGUUCUUCGCCUCCUGCAAAUGCCCAGCUUGGGCAGUUGCUGCUAGAUGAGAUUUCCAAGAAACAAGAUCUCUCGGCAUAAACAGAGUCCUUAAUUGGCAUAUGUUGGUGGUCUUUGAUAGAAUUGUGGUCUAAGAUAUUAGCUCCUUUCCGGCAUAAGCUCAAAGAUGCAUUUCUUUAUCCAAAUGCCCGUUUGUGGCAGACUAUCAUUGCAUUCCGGCCUCUCUCUCUCUCUCUCUCUCUCUCUCUCUCUCUCUCUCUCUCUCUCACUCUCACACACACACGGAAUAAAAAACAGGAGUAAACCUGAUGUUUGAUGUGGCAUGGCAUUCCACUCCUCGAUCUAGAUACUUGCCAUGCCGCCUCAGGGCAUCCACACCUCCCAUACAUUUGCACCAGAAAAUUGGAUGCCAAACAAUCUCCUGCCGCAAGGAGGCACUUGAUCUCAUUGUGAAGCUUACAAGCUGCAGAUAGAUUGCUACACUUUUUUAUUCCAUCCAAUAAAACCUCUUGACCAUACAUUGCUCUCUAUGAGAAAAAAAGCAUAUCUGUUGAUGCAAUCUUGGCUAGUGCCUUGAGAGUUGUAGAAACAAUCAUCAAUUCGGAGAUUAGUGUCUUGACCUACACCACCAUCGUCUUUGCAGCUUUGGGAUUUCCAUUUGUAAAAUUCAAACAUGCAUGUCUCAAUUUGAGAAGGGCAAGCAGCAAGAUCCAAGCUCAGGAUCACAAGAACCAAGGGGGAGGAGUGAUGGGCAGUGGUUGUAUCCCACAGCCUCAAGACCCAAGGCUCCAUUUCUUCGAUACUCUCAUCCCUGGCACUAGAUACUAGCGAUAGAAACGAAAAGGCUCCCAUUCAUCGAUGAUUCUUCCAGUUGUCAAUAAAUUCCAUGUCAUACUAAAAGAACUCCAGUUGAUUGAUCAAAUGGUUCUUUAGUUCUUCCCAAAAGUUUCUUUGCCAUCUCUACGCGAUCAUCUCUAUGAUCGCCUAAACGCGUUCUUGUCCGUGAACUUCUCGCGGUAGUGCGAUCGCCGAUGCAAAGUGUCCGCGACCGAGGCACUGCCUCCAUUCUCGGUGCCAUAGACACUCCUGUUCGUCUCGUCCAGGAAGUUCUUCCCCGACUUGAUCGAGUCCUUCUCCUCCUGGACAGCGUCGCUCGCCGAGGCGCGUUUGAUCCGCUGCCAUCGCUGCUCCUCGUGGAGCUCCGCGUCCUGCUGCAUCUCUCUCAGCCGCGCCAUCUUCUCCUCCUCGCUCAGCUGGGCUUUCUUCCUCGGCAGCGGUGGCUUGCCGGAGCCACGGUUUUCCUCCUGUCCCUGUGCCUGUCUUCGUGCCUGCGAUGCCGUUCAUCCACAUGUCUCUCCCGCUUUCUACUUCUCGUAUCAUCGUCCUCGCGAACUUGGUUGCUUCUGUACCUGUCUUGCUCGUCUCUCUCGGGAAUUCUUUUGCUGCGAUCUUCUCGAUCAUCCCGUGAAGAAGCACCUAUUUUGUUUCUAUGCCUGUCUUCCCCGUCGCUGUCCUCGGCAGAGCUUUUCCUCCUGCUAUACCUGUCAUCCUCAUCGGAACCUCCUUUGUUUCCAUCGUCAUCCUCCUCGGCAGCUCUUCUGCUUCGAUCAGCUCUCUUUGCUUCUGGCUCGCCAGCUUCACCGUUCUCUUUCAUUUUCUUCUUCAGUGCCUUCCUCUUCUGCUUCUCCUCGGCUUUUACUUGUGCUUUCAAUCGCUUCUUUUCCUCUUUAGCUUCCAUCUUGAAGUUCUCGGUCACUGCCCUCGUCUACAUCCAGGUGACUUACGGAUGGACGUGGGGAUGGGGCGGCGCUACCGCUGUCGUCGCCCUCGCCACCCUGCUCUUCUUCUCCGGGAGAUCAAACUAUCGCACCCAAAAGCCCGCUGGAAGUCCCUUCACCCGCGUCGCUCAGGUCCUGGUGGCGGCCACCAGGAAGUGGAAUGUGAGCGUUCCAGACGACGAUGAGAAGCUGUACGAGCUGAGCGACAAGGAGGCGCAGUUCCCACACAUUCGGAACCUCCCCAGGAGUAAAGAAUUCACGUAAGUCCAGAAGAACAAUCUUAGCUUACUACGAUUGAUCGCGAGCAGAUUCCUGAACAAGGCGGCGGUGGUGAGCGAGAAGGAUCUGCAGAGCAAGGAAGUGAAGCCGUGGAGCCUGUGCCCAGUGACGCAAGUCGAGGAAGUGAAGCUCCUAGUGCGAGUGAUGCCCAUCUGGUUCACGAACCUCAUCUUUAGCAGCGUCUUCGCCCAGGUGGGCACCUUAUUCCUCAACCAGGGCGACACCAUCGAGCGGCAUCUGGGGCGAUUCCAGAUCCCAGCCGCCUCCUUCACGCUCUUCAUCCUCACCAUUUGCAUCAUCAUGCCGCUCUACGACCGCUGCUUCGUGCCAUUCGCGUGCCGGAUCACGGGGAACGAGCGAGGGAUCACGAUGCUCCAGCGCAUCGGGAUCGGCCAGGUCAUCUCCACGGUCUCCAUCGCCAUCGCCGCGGUGGUGGAGAUGAAGCGCUUGCGAGUGGCUAGGCAACAUGGUCUGUUGGAUCGCCCCCAGUCGACGGUCCCGAUGAGCGCAUUCUGGCUCUUGCUGCAGUGAGUUCGCGAGGUUUUCAUCUCCGUCGGCCAGAACGAGUUCUUCUACGAUCAAGCCCCGGAUUCCAUGCGAAGCAUUGGAGUGGCGCUCUAUCUCAGCACCAUCUCCAUCGGGAGCUUCAUCAGCAGCUUGCUCGUGGAGAUGGUGGUCAAGUUUACAAGUACAAAAGGUGGGGGGGUUGACGGCAACUGGAUCAAUGACAAUCUCAACAGGGCUCACAUUGAUUACUUCUACUGGCUGCUCACUAUUCUCAGCAUCAUCAACCUUGGGAUAUAUGUCUUGUGUGCGAGGUGGUAUACUUACAAGCAUGUGGGAGAUAUUGCAAUUUGAUCAUCAAUCGAUCCUAGUAACAUGUUCUGCAGCAGUUUGUGAGACGAGAGCAUACCAGGAGAGACCAAGAGAAGGGCUAAGCGGCUGGGGACGAGCUAUCGCAAUAGCGAUGAUGUGAUAUCACUACCACCACCAUAAUAAGAUACUUAUUGCUAUAUCUUUUAAAUAUGACCCUAUCCAGUUAUAAGUUUAGCUCAAAGUUUGAACUGUCAGAGUAAGCCCUAAAAUAUUGAUCUUAUCUAAUCCAUAGCUCUAAAAUUCUAUUGGAGGGAUCAAUAUAUUUAGGUAUGCCAAUUGCACAGUUAAUUUGGUCGCAAUGCAUGCCACACCGUCUGGGCCUGAUCAAUAUCUUCGGCGGGAUGGGAUCGAAGUAGGCCAUCCCAGCGUAUGAUAUGCCAUAUGCCCAGCAGGGGAUUUGAUCACCAUGGGCCGCUACAGCUUCAACAAGCGAUUGUUCUUGCCGAUGUGCGCUCAUCCAAAGAUCGAUCCAAUCUCUGGCGAGCUCUUCGCGGAUCAAUCCCCACCUCCGCUACUUCUGGGCGAGCCCGGACAGGAGGAAGAGCCCCGAUUUCGACGUGUGGCUGCUUGUUUCACGACUUCGCGAUAACAGAGAACUACGUAAUCCUUCCAGAGAAUCAGCUCGUGAUGAAGUUCUCAAGAACAAACUGGUAAUUGAUGGAGAUACUGCCAAGGUUCCCAGAUUCGGGGUCAUCCCUCGCAUCCCGACCGUGGGAUCUCCUGGAUCGACGUCCCGGAUUGGACAUCAUUCCACUACAUCAACGCGUGGGAGGAAGGGACGGACAAGAUCGUCGUACUCAGCUCGUCCAUUACGCCGGUGGAACAUCUGUUUGACGAUAUCGCCGGAUUGUCCAACAGAUUGCACGAGAUCCACCUGGACCUUCGAUCUGGAUGGUCGUGGAAGCAACACGUGUGCUCGGCUGGACUGGAUUUUGGACAGAUCAACCAGAAAUUCCUGAGGCGGAAGAAUCGGUACGUUUACAUGUGCUACUAUGGGCCAUGGCCCAAAAUCUCGGGUCUGGCCAAGGUCGAUUUGGACGCUCCACGGCUGCCCAAGGUGGUCAUCGAUGGAACAAGUGACCCAGAUCUAAACGAGCCAUGCCUUGUGGCAUCGAGGAGAUUUGAACGAGGUCAGUUUUGUGGCAAGCCUUUCUUUGUGGUAAAUGGCAAGGAGGAAGACGAUGGAUGCGUCUUAAGCUACAUCCACGAUGAGGAAAGUGGUGUCUCAGAGCUUUUGGUCAUGGAUGCCAAAUCGCCCACACUUGAGACAGUGGCUUCUAUAGAGUUGCCUGCUAGAGUUCCAUAUGGAUUCCAUGGGAUCUUUAUAAAUGCUGAUCAAAUAGCCAACCAGAACCAUGCCACCUUGUAAGAAAAUUUGUAAAUUGAUAUAAUCUCUUGAAAAUAUCUAAGCUAUGUAACUAUGUGAGAAUUGGUAAUAAGAACAUAUAAAGCACUGUUACUAGGCUCCACACUAAUGGCAACUUUCAUUGCAUCUCCACUUGCUGCAGCUCCAAGCACUUCCAAUCCAUGGAAUCUGGGUACACUACUCGUGUAUGAUUAGUCAGGCAGGGUAUAUCCAAAACGCUAAGAAUCUCCUGUGGGAGAUGCCAUAUUAUCUUUGAGGGUUUGGAGUGAUCAAAUUGGAAAGACACAAAGAGAUGCCGAGCUAUGGCAUCAGUGCCUUUGUGGGCACACGAAGUGAGCAAAGCUGUUAAGUUAGCUUCAUCAGGUGUAUAAUCCCUCCAAUUAAAAUAUGGAUUGGAUGAUCUCACCUUCACAAUAAUAUUUUAGGGCUGAGGCAGUACAGUGCUUCUAGAGAAAUUGGGUUCAAAAAGGUUGCGAUGCUGAUAGGAUAUGUGAACACUCAGAGGACCAAUAAUUGUGUGUCCAUAAGAUAUGUGAACACUUAGAGGACCAAUAAUUGUGUGUCUAUAUAUGCCUGAAAUACUUUUGCAUUUUGUUUUUAGUCCACUCCGACCAUUGAAAAAAAUGUCAUCACUUGACAUUCACAUUUAAUGAUUUUUUAAGAAUGUCACAAUAAAAUAUAUCUAUAAGAAUAUAUACCUAUUAAGGAUAUCCUAGUGUUUACCAAUGUGUAAUCACCUCAUUUUUACCCUCAAACCUCCUUAACUCUAAAAUGAAGCAAUAAAGCUUGAAGAAGAGAUUGAGGAAUGAAUAAAAAUGAGAAUGAAACAGUGAAUUUAAAAAACAAAAUUUGACAUAUAGAUAUAAAUAGAGUAGAGAAUAUUAUUUUGAUGAAGAAACUUUUUAAAGCAAUCUUGGUUAUUCCAGUAAGCAUGGCUUCUUGUAAAUGAUCAUUUUCCUGGCAAAAUAUGAUGAAGAAUCAUCGUCAAAAUUGACUUAACCUUAAGAUAUUGGAUGUGUAUAUGUUUUUCUUACUAAAGGGCUUAUAGUGCUUUUUUUUUAUUAGUCAUGUGUUAUGUGUAAUUUCAAGUCCAACAUUACAGGAUAAAGGCAAAAUAACAACUUUAUUUUUAUCAUAAUGUCAUUUAACAUUUAUAUUUAUAUUUUAGUGGAUAAAUGUAAAAAAAAAAAAAAAUUCUCUAUAUAAAACACCUUUACAUGAUGCAAUAUAAAUCCUUGCAUAGAUAAAAAAGUACUCCCUACAUAAAAUAUCAACUAGCCUAAGCAAAUGACCUUAAUAAAAUAACAUAAAUUGAUUUUUUUUUUUGUUACUUUGACUAUGACUACCAAAUUUUGACUUUCUUCCCAACCAUUAACACCUAUUAUGGGAAUCGUGCUAUUUCAAUCUAUUAUACCUAAUGUAUUUAGAGAGAGAGAGAGAGAGAGAGAGAGAAAUAAAGUAUAACCUAAAUCCCUAAGCAAUAACCUUCAUUUGCAACACCCAUUGUCAUAUACAUGAAAUCACGUGGCUCUCAAAUUGUGUUGAAGUUAUUCAUCAAACAAGGUAGCUAAUUUAAUUAAGAUCAAAGCUAUAUAAAUUUCUUCUUAAACAUCAAUGGUAUAAAUGCUAAUUCCUUAAAGUUUUUGUGUAGAUGCCAUUUAUCCAAGAAGAAAUUUCACAGAUCUCAAAGGCAAGAUUGAGGUGCAUUCUAUGUUCUAAUAUCCCUUUGUUAAAUAGGUAUUGUUCAAGUAUUUUUGUGUUGCUUGAUGCAUCAAAUCUGGUGAUAAUAAGUAGCAUAUGGGUUUUGGAAUCUAGGCUGUGAGAGUUGGUGGUGGCAUUCUCUUUCCUAGGACAUUAUCUAAUGUUUUAUUUCUUUAUCAAGAUUUGGGAAUUAUUUUUGAAUUAUUCAAAAGUUAUUCAGGAAUAAUCUCCUGGUUUGAGUGUUUGAAGUUAGUACCAAGCAAUAUAGUGUUCUCUAGAUUGAUCAAUCUUAAGAAAUCUUGUAGCUUUGGCAUUUCCAACUAUUAUUGAGGAUAGAGUAUAGAUUUGCAAAGACUUUUGUUUGCCAAGGUGCACCAUUGUUCUAGGGUGUGUUGUUAUAACACUAGUUCUAGAUUGCAUCACAAGACAUAAGCACUAACAAUUUAGCUUAGAUUAAUGCUUGCUAGGGUUAGAUUUUUUUAGAGAGAUUAAAAAUUUAUGGAAGAAAGUGGUGUCAUUACUUUGUUUUGUGCUUGUAGUUCUUCCUCAUCUUUCAAGGUUUGAAACAUUUUUCUAUUUUCUUUACCCCUUAUUCUCAAAUAAGAAACAUAUGCAUAAGGAUGCUAUGAAGCUCAUUAACAACUAAGCUUAAAAUCCAUCAUGUUCAUAGGUGGAAAUCCAUUUGACAAGGCUCGAGCAAAUAUGUCUGCACUUAACUUGUCUCAAAAACCAUACACAUAAGGUUUGAGAAAAGAAGAUCUCCAAGUUGUUGGAUCAAUGGCUUUUAUUAAAACCCCUAAUAAUACUUAAAUUUUAGAUUAUGCAACACCAAGAAUAUACUUUAAAAAAACAAUUAAACCUUUACUCUAAAGGUAUAUAAUAGGUAUUUUUAACCCUUUGAGUGAUCCUACCCUAAACAAGUGUGACCACUUUAGAUUUAAUUCUCCUUUGCAAACUAGGAUUUCUAUUAGUGACACCAAUAUAGCUGGCAUAUUUACUUUAAGAUUCACUCAUUCCAUGGGACCUGCAUCAUUCACACAACACCAGAGUUAUAAGUUAGAUACUUUACUAAACUUUUUAUAAUUAUUUCUCAAAAAUUUUAUAAGAUGGCUACUCAAGAUGAGAGGUACUCAAGAAGAAGUUACCAAAUUUAUAGCACUAUUGUUGACUCUAUAACAUGAGUUUAAAUGAGAUUCACAACAUAGUUGCAACUCUAGCUAACAAGAGCAUUGUCUAAGAUUAGGAGCACUAGUGAUUUAAAGUAGAAAUUAUAAGCCAAAAUUCCUAGAAUAAAAAAUAGAACAAUUUUUAAAAUAAAUCAAUUUGGCAAAAAUACAUAUUAGGAAUAACUAGAAUUGUUAAUGAAAAUGACAAUGAAAACAAUAAAUCACUAAAACUUCACUAUGUACCACAAUUCUAUCUAAUGAAAUUCAAAUCAUUCUUCCUAAAAUUUUAUAUAAAAUUCCUCACAGUGUAACUUUAUUUUAGAAUAAUGCACAUAUAUAGUUUUUGCCCAAAAUCCCACAUAUAAUUGCAUACAUAAUCUUAAACCCUUAGUGCAUAACCCCCCACUUUACUCUUGCCAUGACACACCUCAGUUAACUGCCACAUCAAAUGGUUCAACCACUCACUAACAACUAGGUGAGGAUUACAUUGAAAGAUGCACUAGGAGGGGUAGUAGGCAGAUUAGUGAAGCCCAAGGUUAGAUUUUACAUGAAUAAUAGCCUAGAUUUCACGUGUGAUCAUCAAAAAUAGAAAUCUUUGGUAAGUUCUUCAUGGUUAACUUCAGUGAUCAAUCCCCACCUUUGUUACUUCUGGGCAGGGAGGAAAGAGAUGAAUUUCCAAGAUGUAGUGCUCAAGAACAAACUGGUCAUUGAUGGAGAUACUGCCCAAGGGUCUCAGAUUGAUGCAUCCCGGCCACGGGAUUUUCCGGAUCGACGUCCCGGAUUGGAUGUAAUUCCACUACAUCCAUGCCUGGGAGGAAGGGAUGGACAAGAUUGUCAUGUCCAUUACGCCAGUGGAACAUCUGUUUGACGAUUUCGCUGGAUUGUUCAACAGAUUGCACAAGAUCCACCUGGCCCUUCGAUCUGGACGGUCGUGGAAGCAACAUGUGUGCUCGGCAGGACUGGAUUUUGCACCAGAAAUUCCUGGGGCAGAAGAACCGUUGGCUAAGGUUGAUCUGGUGUGGCAUCAUGGAGAUUCGAACAUGGUAAGUUUUGUGGCAAAUGGUGAGGAGGAAGACGAUGGAUAUGUCGUCUUAAGCUACGUCCAUCAUGAGAAAAAUGGUGUCUCGGAGCUUUUGUUCAUUCAUGCCAAAUCGCCCACACUUGAGACAGUGGCUUCUAUAGAGUUGCCUGCUGGAGUUCCAUAUGGAUUCCAUGGGAUCUUUAGAAAUGCCGAUCAAAUAGCCAACCAAAACCAUGCCACCUUCUAAGAAAAUUUGAUAUAGUUGUAGGAAUUGAUAUAAUCUCUUGAAAAUAUCUAAGCUAUGUAACUAUGUGAGAAUUGGCAAUAAGAACAUAUGGAGCACUGUUACUAAGCUCCACACUAAUGGCAUUUUUCAUUGCAUCUCCACUCGCUACAGCUCCAAGCAAGCGCUUCCAAUCCAUGGAAUCAGGGUAGUAUGGCAUCUCCCACAGAAGAUUCUCAGCGUCUUUGACCGGACAAGCACACCAAUCAUACAUGAGUAGUGUUGCUUUGAGGGUUUGAUGGAGUGAUCAAACUGGAAAGACACAAAGAGAUCCCCAGCUAUGGCAGCAGCACCUUUGUGAGCGCACGACGUGAGCAAAGCUGUUAAGCUAGCUUCAUCAGGUGUAUUAGUAGUGACCAUGGUUUGCAAGGCAUCCAAGGCUUUGGAAAUGGCCCCAAUCCGAGAGUAUGCCACCAGCAUUGCAUCCCAAGAUAUGAAGUCCUUGUCCAGCAUUGUUAAGAAUAUCCAAUUUGCCAUAUCCAGAUGCCCGUUUUGGGUAUAUGCAGAAAGCAUUCACUCCAUGGAGAUUGGUUUCUUUCUUGGAUUGAAUCGAACACACUUUUAGCUUCCAGUAACUGCAAAUUUGAUGAAAAACCAGACAAGAAAGCAUUGAAAGCAAUAGCACUCUUUUCAUUGGAGUUGUCAAAAAUUCUCUUAGCCAAAAGCAUAUGUCCAGUUCGGGCAUAUGCCGACAUGAGCACAAUCAGCGGUAUCUCGCUGUGACCCGGCAUUUUUUUGAAAAUCCACAGGGCGUCCUCUAGCCUGUGGUUGUUUACAUAUCCUGUCAGCAUGGCAGUCCACGUAACCUCGUUUCACUCCUUCAUUCCAUCAAAGAGUUUCUUUGCUUUUUCCAGAUGCCCGUUGCAAGCAUAUACUGUAAUGAGAGCGGUUGCCGUGACUAAAUGCUCGCCUUGAUCAGGCAGACCUAAAUAUAUGGCUUCGGCGUCGUGAGUCCGUCCUCGCCGAGAAGGCAAGCGCAGGAUUGCAGUGCAAGCAAACGCGUUGUGGCGCUGCAUGGUGUAAAAAAUUUGCUGAGCCUCGGCGAUGCUGCUGUCGUCGUGAUCUGCGUAAGCGGACAGGAUUACCACGCAUGAAACCACAUCUAUACACUCAAUCGACUCAAACAGAUUCUUUGCCUCGUGAAAGCAGCCACUUUCCACCAAGACGACAAGCGAAACCAUGCAGGCAACCAAAUCCUUGUGAGGCAGUGCGAGGAAGAAAUACUUGGCAUCUUCCAAAAGGCCGUGCUGGCCAAAGCACUGAAUCAUGGACGUAAAAGACAGAGCAUCAAAUUCUGGCAUGUUGGAGAAGAUGUGCUUCGCCUCCUGCAAAUACCCAGCUUGGGCAAGUGCUAAUAUCUGAGAGUUCCAAGCAACAAGAUCUCUCUCAGGCAUGGAGCUGAAGAGUGUCGUUAUUUAAAACAAGUUGGUGGAUUUGGAUAGAAUUGUAGUCCAAGAAAUUAAGCUCCUUUCUGGCAUAAGCUCAAAGAGCUGCAUUGCUUUAUCCAAAUGCCCGUUUGUGGCAUAUGCUAAGAUCAUUGCAUUCCAUGCUACAAGGCCUCUCUCUCUCAUGGAAUGGAAAACUUCUUUUGCCUGUAGGAGUAAGCCAUGCCGAGAGAAGGCAGUGAUCAUGAUCGACCAUGAAGCAACAUCCCAUUCGGGCAUUCGAUCAAACAACUGCUUUGCUUGGUCAAGAUGGCUGUUUGAUGCGAAGGCAGAGAGCAUGGCAUUCCACGAGAAUCGAUUCCGUGAUGUAGAGCCGCGGAAGAUUUGCCAUGCUGCCUCUGGGCAUCCACACCUCCCAUACAUUUGCACCACCAUGCCGCGAGGAGGUGCUCAAUCUCAUUGUGGAGCUUAGAAGCUGUGGAUAGAUUGGUACACUUCUUUAUUGCAUCCAACAAAAGCUCUCAAGAAUCUAGUGCUAACAUGGUUCUCUGUAAGAAAAAACCAUAUAAUCAUGCACAAUCUUGGAUGGUUCCUUGGUUGUUGUAGAAACAAUCAUCAAUUCGGAGAUGAGUGUCAUGAUCCGCACCACUGUUGUCUUUGCACGUCGCAUAGUAGACCAACUUUGGGAUGGUUUCAU
rnacentral:lncRNA from 1 species